AGAGAGCAUAUAUUAUAUGUAUAUAAUAUUAAUUUUAUAUUUGAAAAUUAUUUACCAUAAAGACCAUGAUUAACAAUUUUGAUGUAUAUUCUGGAAAUAAAUUUGAAACAUGGUUUGUUAAAACAUGGGUGCUCACGCUGCAUAGUGGGAGAAAUGGCGAAUUUGGUGGAGUUUCAGCGAAAUCAUAUAUUUUCGAAUCCCCCCAAAUUUCUUUAUUUUUUUUUACAACUAAAAAUCAAUGGAAUAUUGGUUUUCUUUAUUUUGUUUUGCUCUCAAUAUUCGCUCACUUGUGAGCUUUCAAACUUUGUUUCAGCAAGUGCACUAAUUAUUUUCGUACUGUUUUACAGUCAUAGUUGACACAAAAACUAAAUUAUUAUUAUUAUAUUUUUUUAUUUGGAUUAAAUUAUUUGGAAUUUUCUUUGGAAUUAUGUGUGUUUGUUAAUAAUCAUGUGUUUUAUAAUGAUAUUGAAAAGGAAUGUUUCGCAAGAUGUUUCCAUGUUCAGCUUAGAAUCUGCAAUACCAUAGCUUUAAAAUUGAUUAAAAUUUAUAUGAUGAUACAAAAGUCCCUAUUCACAUACAUAAAGAGCUCUUAUAAAUUAAUGCAAUACGGUGCUAAAAAAAGACAUUGCAAUAUAUAUCCGAGCUACGUUUGGGAUAAAAGGGAAGAAAUUGAUUUGGAGAAAACGAGAAAGGUAUCUGAAAAAAAUAUGGUACCAAGCGUAAAACAUGGUGGAAGCGGUGUUAUGGUUUGAGGUUGUAUGGCAGCCAACGAUGUUGGAAACCUCACAUUUAGUGUUUUCAUAAUGGACCAGAUAGACCAGAUAGAUAUACAAAUUUAACAAAAUAUUAUACUGCAAAGAGCUCAGAAACUGGGGAUGGAACAGAGUUUUUGAUUCCAGCAGGAUAAUCACCCCAAAUAUCCGAAAACAUUCUAUAACAUUAAGGAUAUACUGAAAGAAAUGGCGAAAAUUUUUACAGAGGAUACAGAAACUUGUGAAUUUAAUGCCCAGAGGUCUUAUCAAUGUACUGAAGAGAAAAAUAUAUAACAAGGCGUUUUGCGGGCAUGCCAGUGUUCAUAUACAAUACCAAACUUCUUACGAUGCCAAGGAAUAUGUGUACACAGUUUCACCAAGAUAUCUUAAUUUUUACUCAAGUUAGAGCUUGCACGGACGGACGAACGGAUAGACAAACAGUCAACACGGUUUUAACUCGUCAUCAAUAUUUAUAAACGACAAUUUUUAAAAUUAAAAUAGCUUCGAGCCACUGUACACUUGGUGAGCGUCUCAAAAAAAAAGGAGAUGGCUGGCCCCGGUGAUUUGGUCGCUAGAGGACAUCUGAAACAAAAAAAUCAAAAAGAUUAUUAUUCUUUGAGGUUGUCAUUCUGAUUGAAACUAUGAUUAAAACAAUUUCGUUGAAAAAUAAAAAAAUGGUUGACUUCGAAAAAAGUGACAUUUUUCUUAAAUAGAAGUCUACUACGAGACCCUCACGUGUAGGUGCUAUAACUUCGUUAAUAUUUCAAUUUUCGUCCUAAAAUUUUUACAAUGCAUUGUUAAUAUAUGGUACUUUCGAGUUUUCUAAACCAAGUUACCAGUGUACUACCUUAAAACUCCAACUGGUGCUGAUCAGUUGAUUUAAAAUUUUUUUAUUUUGUAAUUUUUUUUAGUUUUUUGACACAAAAUAUUUUAAGAA